rnacentral:lncRNA from 1 species
UUUUGAGAGGUUUAAAUUCUUAAUUUGAGAGUUUGGGUGUAUUGAGGUUAUGAGUUGUGAGAUAAAAUUACUACAAUACUUGUAAACUCUACACAAUUAGUAAAAUAUUUCCUCUCAUCUUCUCCCGUGGACAUAGGCGCCGAACCACGUAAACAAAGGUGAAGCUCAGGGAAGGCUAAGCUUUUUGAAAAAAAAAUUAAAAUUUAUAAAUUUACUUUUAUUAAUAUUUAUAAAAAAAUAAAAACAAACCUAAUAAUUAUAGGAAUCUUUAUUUUCCCCAAAUCACAAUUCAUAAAACUCACCAGUAUCUAACUAAAUCUGAAUUUGAAAUUCACCAAAAUUCAAUUGCUCAAGUCUCUUACCGCUGCUGAAUACCCAGUCUCCUGCGCUCGAAUUGACGUCCAACCGUUGCCUCAUGAGUGACGCUGAGCCACUGCCGCAAGGCCCGCACCCGCAGGCCUCACUGCCGAGCCGACGCCGAAUGCCCAGUCUCUUGAUGCGGCCCCUCGUACAAAGCACUUUGCCUUUUAAAAUUUAGUUUACUGAAUAGAAUAUGAUUUUAUGAUAAUGAU